rfam:Triticum aestivum genome assembly, contig: Triticum_aestivum_CS42_TGACv1_scaffold_500253_6BL
AAUCUACUCCCUCCGUCCGUAAAUACUUAUCGAAGGAAUGAAUGUAAACACGUAUUUUAGUUCUAAAUACAUCCAUUUUUAUGCAUUUCUCCGACAAGUAUUUUCGGAUGGAGGAAGUAUCAU